CAGCGUCAGCGGCGGUGAAAGUAAGCCCGGCUCCCGCACAGUGAUGCCAAGAGAGCAAUUUUUAAACCACGGGCAGGACUUGUGGCGGAGGGGGGGAACCUCAGGGACGCGAGGCGAAGCCUCUCCCACGGUGGAAGUCCUGCAAGUCCAGCAGUCCUCUGAUGCUCACUACCAGAUGUACUAAGUCUACAACACCAAGGAGACACUUGCUCUUCCAGCCUCCUCUCUUCGUAGGCAGCUCCCUAAUCAAGCAAUGAAAUUUGUGUAGAACAUGAUUUAGCACUGAUUUACUACUUCCUCACCUCAUCUAUAAACCUGGUCUGCCUACCUGGUAGCAUCUUCCUUCUUCAAGGAAUUGUACUUCAAUAGGAGAUUACCAAUUCUUUAUUGAUCAUGUGCCAGGAGCAAAAUUUUCUUCUGUCACCUCUUGUGGAAGCAAACUAUUUUUGACCUGACACAGCUAUAUAUAGAGAUUACCAAGUAUCAAACAGAAUUCAUAAGCUGUACGUAGAGAGAUCCCCCAAACUGUCACAAGUCCUUAGUUAGAUAAUCAUAGACAAUGAGGAUUAAAGCUGUGUAAGGAGGAAGGAACAGAAUAUAUGAUGGAAAGGUGGAGCCAUUCUGUGGGAAAUUUUCAUUUCCAUAACGUGUUAUUGUUAUUUUUCCUUUCCCAUUAUGCUGUAGAUUUUGUGUUACUUGCAUGCAAAAGAGUAAUUACUUGCUACUCCACAGCUGAGGUUGCAUUGUAAUUUGCACUUAUAGCAGGACUAAAAUCUCUGUGUUUCAUACUUGAGUGAUUGCAGUUAGACUACACAUUUGGCACAUAACACUUGAGAAUUACAGCUCAAUUUUCUUUUCUUUUUUCUUUUUUCAUAAUAUUUGUUUGCCUCUUGUAAAGUAAAGAACUUAAUUACCCUCUUUUUCAAACGUUUCACAUUUUCUUCACAUUUCUGAACUCUUACAGAAGUAAUUCUGAGGUAUCCCAUGUAUUGCAAGUCAUUCUUCCUUUAGAAUAAGAACCCAGGUAAAGCCAAUUCUGGAGUGUAUCUUUAGAAGUUUGUAAAGCUUGUGUCCUGGAUUAAUAUUUUGAUGAUUUUUUUUUUUAAUCUGAUGUCUGUUUCUCAUGUUAUUUUCAUUUUCCUUAUUGUUUUCUGAUGGCUUCUAGCUAUAGUCACUGUAUUACUUCUUUGUAUUUAGUACUGGUGCUCCAAGAUCAUUAAAUAAUAUUAAAUGGAA